GAAGCUUGUUGCUUCUGGAAAGCUUGUUAAGGUGAAGAGCUCCUACAAACUUCCAGCUCCCAAGGCUACUGCUGCUCCUGCUAAGAAGAAACCGGCAGCCAAACCAGCAAAGAAGGCAACCAAAGCUAAGCCGAAGCCAAAACCAAAAUCUGCUGCUCCAAAGGCUAAAGCUGCAACGAAACCAAAAUCUGCUGCUAAAGCUGUUGUGAAACCAAAACCCGCAGCGAAGACUAAGGCAGUUGCUGCAGCAAAGGCGAAAACAGCUGAGAAGGUGAAGAAAACUCCUGUGAAAACUAAGGCAAAGGCAGCGCCGAAGGAGAAGCCGGCUAAGGUAGCAAAGACACCAA
rnacentral:lncRNA from 1 species